UACGUAGGUGGCAAGCGUUAUCCGGAAUUACUGGGCGUAAAGCGCACGCAGGCGGCUCGUCAAGUUCGACGUGAAAGCUCCCGGCUUAACUGGGAGAGGUCGUUGAAACUGGCGAGCUUGGAGGCAAGUGAGAGGGUGUAGAAUUCCGGUGUAGUGGUGGAAUGCGUAGAUAAUCGGGAGGAAUACCAGUGGCGAAAGCGGCACCCUAGCGUU
rnacentral:rRNA from 1 species